AAAAUGAAACCCACAAGAGUGCGUAAUAGUUCACUGAUCGAGUGCUCGUACGUCGAAGAUGAAUGGGACUAAGUGAUCUGUCGAAGCUGUGGGAUGUAAAAAUACAUCGGUAGGGGAGCGUUCCGCCUCAGAGGGAAGCACCAGCGCGAGUAGGUGUGGACGAAGCGGAAGCGAGAAUGUCGGCUUGAGUAACGCAAACAUUGGUGAGAAUCCAAUGCCCCGAAAACCUAAAGGUUCCUCCGCAAGGUUCGUCCACGGAGGGUGAGUAUAAUCAAUGGCUUAAUUAACUACUUCACC
rnacentral:ncRNA from 1 species